rnacentral:rRNA from 1 species
UGGGGAAUAUUGGACAAUGGGCGCAAGCCUGAUCCAGCCAUGCCGCGUGAGUGACGAAGGUCUUCGGAUUGUAAAGCUCUUUUGGCGGGGACGAUAAUGACGGUACCCGCAGAAUAAGCCCCGGCAAACUUCGUGCCAGCAGCCGCGGUAAUACGAAGGGGGCUAGCGUUGUUCGGAAUUACUGGGCGUAAAGCGCACGUAGGCGGAUUGUUAAGUCAGAGGUGAAAUCCCGGAGCUCAACUUCGGAACUGCCUUUGAUACUGGCAAUCUAGAGUCCGGAAGAGGUUAGUGGAAUUCCCAGUGUAGAGGUGAAAUUCGUAGAUAUUGGGAAGAACACCAGUGGCGAAGGCGGCUAACUGGUCCGGUACUGACGCUGAGGUGCGAAAGCGUGGGGAGCAAACAGGAUUAGAUACCCCAGUAGUCCCUGAGCGGGCUGGCAAGGCGCAU